GAAAUGCGAUAAGUAAUGUGAAUCGCAGAAUUCAGUGAAUCAUCGAAUCUUUGAACGCACAUUGCGCCCGCCAGUAUUCUGGCGGGCAUGCCUGUUCGAGCGUCAUUUCAACCAUCAAGCCCCCGGCUUGUGUUGGGGACCUGCGGCUGCCCGCAGGCCCUGAAAAACAGUGGCGGGCUCGCUGUCACACCGAGCGUAGUAGCAUACAUUCUCGCUCAGGGCGUGCUGCGGGUUCCGGCCGUUAAACGACCUUCAUAACCCAAGGUUGACCUCGGAUCAGGUAGGAAGACCCGCUGAACUUAAGC
rnacentral:misc_RNA from 1 species